rnacentral:misc_RNA from 1 species
UCAUAAUAUGCAUUAUAGUCUCAGCCAAUCAGCGACGUUGGAGUCGUCAUGGAUAUUAUAAUAACAAAAAUAUUAUCUAAUGAGGAAACAGCUUUUAUUUACAUUCCACUUAAAAAUGGCAAUAAAGAGAUUACAGAAAGCAUGGCGACAAUUGAGAAUGUUAUUCUCAAAGAAACAAACAAAUAGCAAGGGAGUUGGAACUGAUUUGUCGAUACCGGAGCAUUGCGAAACUGAAAAUGUAUUCACAUUCGUAGUGGCUAACAGGUUAGCAGAGGCACUCGCUGAAAGAGACGCUUUGAGAAAAGAAAAAGACCAAAAGGAAAAGGAGUUGGAGAUGGAACGACUGGCAGUUAACCGAGCACAAAGGGAAAUAGAUGAGCUGAAAGAAGAACUCACAUGGCUGAGGGAGUUGGUUGAAAGUACUUUAAACAUCACUGACUUUGGCACACUCUGCAAUGAUGGCCCAGUUGGCGAUAAAGAAAGUGAACUGGAUCGUAAAGACUUGGAUACUGACGCUGCAUUGAUUGCAUUAGUGCCUUUAUGAUAAUCAUUUAAAUCAUUUAUAAAUACGUACACAUAGUACGGACGGCAAUAUCGUCCCUGAAGUUCCGAGCUGUGUCACGUAAGUGUCCUGCUGAUAGUCACGCAAGUCGACUGACACCGGACACUGACUGUCAUUCUAGCACCCGUUAAAGACACAACUUAGACACCAGACAAUAUUUGGAGCACAUAUGGACUGACGUUCUUCGUCCUUAGAAAUUAACAAAGAAUCCUUGAUAACAAACAUCACAGAACCAUGAAACACAUGAAGUCAUAUUUGAAAAGUGCAACACCACUGAAUAGGUUAAAGAAAAAACUCAGUAAUUGAACGAGAAUGUAAAUAAAUAAAUGUAUAAAUUGUAAAUAAA